rnacentral:lncRNA from 13 species
GCGACCAUCUACGCCUUUUUUGUGUGAUCUUUUUGUUAUAUUUUUUGUUAUUAAAUAAUGCAUUUUUACAAAUACAUAUACAUAUACUAUACAUUCUUACAAAUACAUAUACAAUGGACGAUUAACUUUACAUUAAAGUAAUUGCAAAUUUUUGCUUCUUUUUCUUUAUAGGUGAAUGUCGAUUUAAAAGCAGACAGGAUGCAAACUUGACAAAGCGUGUAUAAGCAUAUGUCAUCGCCUAUUGGAACUAAUUGUGAGAGUAAUAUCACUAUUAGUUGCCUUUGUCAGAUGACCAGCAGUAUCUCAACAAACCAUCAGAGAUUUAACUUUCCCAGCGCGACCACUUUAGCGUUAAAAAUUUGAAAUAGACAAUUCACAAUUAAAUUUGGAAGACGUAGUAUCUUCGUAUAUAGAAAGAAUAAGAGAGAUCUAGUCAAUACUUAAUUAUGUAGUUGCGGAACGUUUUGAUGAAGCUUUCAAAAAAGCGAGAAAUCGCGACGAACUAUCAAAAUUUCAAAACGUUUUGUCCGUGGAGCUUUUAGCCAAGAAGAAACCAUUGUUUUGCAACCUUUUACUACUAAGGAUUGUGACGCAGUCAAAAGCGUUUAGCUGACGGCUGGUCUAGUUGUGCGUAAGAACACUGUCAUUGACUCUUGUUACACGGAACUAUUAAUCGGCUUUAGUAACAUACGUAGUUAUGAAAUUGGUUAAUCUUCUUCAUUAGUAUUCUUCUGAAGAACGGAAUAACUGUAAUUGGUCAGUUUCCUAACUACGGAUGUUAUUAAACCCGAUUAAAAGUGCUGUGCAUCAGGGGUUGAUUGACUAAAGGAAUUGAAUUGAUAAAGACGCAGAAGUUAUAAAACUAAUAUGAUCUAGUGGAGCCAUACCUCUGGCAUUCAAAAUUAUUUCUGAAGUGGCAAUGUGGUUGGAAAGCAGUAAUUGUCUAUUCAGUAUUACGAAGGAUCCUUAUAAGACAUAUAGUAAACGGUUCUUCUGGUGGUGAAGGUUGUAUACAAGCAGCAGCUGGAGCACCAUUCGGAAUUGGCUGAGAUAUUGGUGGCUCUAUUCGUAUGCUGGCAUUCUUCAACAGGAUUUUUGACCAUAAGCCAACUAAAGAUGAGGAAGAUUAAAGAUUUAGAUAACGCAUUAUUAAUAUGUUAUGAAACACUUGUUAUCACAUUUUUAUUAUAAGAAUUGUUUCGAAUGAUGGCCUAGGAUUCCAGUGCACAUAGUCACGACAAAGAUCAAUUACUCGCUAUUAGACUAACGUGUAAAUAUGCGCAAGAUUUAUCGUUAAUUCUUAAAAUUAUUGCGGAUAAAAAUAUUUACUUAUUAAAGUUAAAUCAAAAGUGAACAUUUCACAAAUAAGGGCAAGUUAGUUUAAUAUUGAAAUAAAAAUAUUUAAUUAUAUAUUUUUUCUUAAAUUUAAUCUUACUUCAUGUAUGCAUCCUUUUGCGAGAAAAUAUCUAAAAUAAAUAGAGUUAAUAAUUUGUAAUACAAUAAUCAAGAAACAAUAUUUCUAUGUGACUCUAGAUUUAUUAUAUAGAAGACGACGGUGGUCAGCAUCUAAUUUCGCCAGUGGAUCUAGAAAUACAAGCCAUUAUGAUAUAACUCGUUCAUGGCCUUCAAUUAUUCACUGAUUUGAUAACAAGCGUAAAACUAUUAUUGUUAAUACAUAUUUUAUCUAUUAAAAGAAAUAAAUUGUUACUAUA